GUCUCUAAUUCUAGCUUUAGAAAUUGUUUACGCCUGAUCUCAUCUGACCUUGGAAGCUAAGAAGGGUUGGGUCUGGUUAGUACUUGAAUGGGAAACCACCUAGGAAGAUGGGAUGCUGUAGGCG
rnacentral:rRNA from 1 species